AAUGAUCUUGCCUUGAACCUUUUCUCUAAUGAAAUGGCAAUCAGCCUCAAUAUACUUAGUUCAUUCAUGGAACACGGGGUUUGAUGCUAUGCGAAUAAAUUAUCACAAUGGAGCUUAAUUGGAGUGCAGUUUUUGGAACCAAGAUUUUGAAGACGAGCCUUGAGCUAGAUGAAUUCACACGCUGCAGAAGCCAUAGCCCGAUAUUCAGCUUCAGCACUAGAUCUAGCUACAACGCUUUGUUUUUUACUCAUCUGAGUGAUUAAAUUUCCU
rnacentral:lncRNA from 1 species